GCUUCCUUGGCUCAGUUGGCUAGAGCGCCAGUCUCAUAGGUUCAUUAUGAGCAGUGGGGUGUACUGCCUAAUCUGGAGGUCGCAAGUUCGAGCCUUGCAGGGAGCA